rnacentral:rRNA from 1 species
GAUGAACGCUGGCGGCGUGCCUAAUACAUGCAAGUCGAGCGAACGGACGAGAAGCUUGCUUCUCUGACGUUAGCGGCGGACGGGUGAGUAACACGUGGAUAACCUACCUAUAAGACUGGGAUAACUUCGGGAAACCGGAGCUAAUACCGGAUGAUAUUUUGAACCGCAUGGUUCAAAAGUGAAAGACGGUCUUGCUGUCACUUAUAGAUGGAUCCGCGCUGCAUUAGCUAGUUGGUAAGGUAACGGCUUACCAAGGCAACGAUGCAUAGCCGACCUGAGAGGGUGAUCGGCCACACUGGAACUGAGACACGGUCCAGACUCCUACGGGAGGCAGCAGUAGGGAAUCUUCCGCAAUGGGCGAAAGCCUGACGGAGCAACGCCGCGUGAGUGAUGAAGGUCUUCGGAUCGUAAAACUCUGUUAUUAGGGAAGAACAUAUGUGUAAGUAACUGUGCACGUCUUGACGGUACCUAAUCAGAAAGCCACGGCUAACUACGUG